AACGAACGCUGGCGGCAUGCCUAACACAUGCAAGUCGAACGAGAUCUUCGGGUCUAGUGGCGCACGGGUGCGUAACGCGUGGGAAUCUGCCCUUUGGUUCGGAAUAACAGUUGGAAACGACUGCUAAUACCGGAUGAUGACGAAAGUCCAAAGAUUUAUCGCCAGAGGAUGAGCCCGCGUAGGAUUAGCUAGUUGGUGUGGUAAAGGCGCACCAAGGCGACGAUCCUUAGCUGGUCUGAGAGGAUGAUCAGCCACACUGGGACUGAGACACGGCCCAGACUCCUACGGGAGUCAGCAGUGGGGAAUAUUGGACAAGGGGCGGAAGCCUGAUCCAGCAAUGCCGCGUGAGUGAUGAAGGCCUUAGGGUUGUAAAGCUCUUUUACCCGGGAUGAUAAUGACAGUACCGGGAGAAUAAGCUCCGGCUAACUCCGUGCCAGCCGCCGCCGUAA
rnacentral:rRNA from 1 species